CCUACGGGGGGCAGCAGUGAGGAAUAUUGGUCAAUGGACGAGAGUCUGAACCAGCCAAGUAGCGUGAAGGAUGACUGCCCUAUGGGUUGUAAACUUCUUUUAUCUGGGAAUAAAAUGUUCCACGUGUGGGCUUUUGUAUGUACCAUAUGAAUAAGCAUCGGCUAACUCCGUGCCAGCAGCCGCGGUAAUACGGAGGAUCCGAGCGUUAUCCGGAUUUAUUGGGUUUAAAGGGAGCGUAGGUGGGUUGUUAAGUCAGUUGUGAAAGUUUGCGGCUCAACCGUAAAAUUGCAGUUGAAACUGGCAGUCUUGAGUACAGGAGAGGUGGGCGGAAUUCGUGGUGUAGCGGUGAAAUGCUUAGAUAUCACGAAGAACUCCGAUUGCGAAGGCAGCUCACUGGACUGCAACUGACACUGAGGCUCGAAAGUGUGGGUAUCAAACAGGAUUAGAUACCCCGGUAGUC
rnacentral:rRNA from 1 species